rnacentral:snRNA from 1 species
GUGCUCGCUUCAGCAGCACAUAUACUGAAAUUGGAACGACACAGAGAAGAUUAGCAUGGCUCCUGUGCAAAUUCAUGAAGUGUUCCAUAUAUUU